GAUGAAGAACGUAGCGAAAUGCGAUAAGUAAUGUGAAUUGCAGAAUUCAGUGAAUCAUCGAAUCUUUGAACGCACAUUGCGCCCCCUGGUAUUCCGGGGGGCAUGCCUGUCCGAGCGUCAUUGCAACCCUCAAGCGCGGCUUGUGUGUUGGGCUUCGUCCCCCCGUGGACGUGCCCGAAAGGCAGUGGCGGCGUCCCGAAUGGUGCCCGAGCGUAUGGGAACUCUCUUCCGCUCGAACCGGCCCAUUCGGCGCUGGUCGAACCCCAAUUUUUUUUACCGGUUGACCUCGGAUCAGGUAGGGAUACCCGCUGAACUUAAGCAUAUCAAUAAGCGGAGGA
rnacentral:misc_RNA from 1 species